GAUGAACGCUAGCGGCAGGCUUAAUACAUGCAAGUUGAGGGGCAGCAUGAUAUACGCGAGUAUAUUGAUGGCGACCGGCGGACGGGUGAGUAAUAGGUAGGAGACCUACCUCAUACAGGGGGAUAGCAUAGAGAAAUCUGUGGUAAUACCCCAUGAGGUUAUAUGAAUAGAGGCAUAUAAUCAAAGCAUAAGCGAUUAUGCGGUAUGAGAGGGGCCUACUGACCAUUAGCUAGUUGGUGAGGUAAGGGCUCACCAAGGCGAAGAUGGUUAGGGGUUUUGAGAGAGAGACCCCCCACAUUGGAACUGAAGAGACGGUCCAGACUCCUACGGGAGGCAGCAGUAGGGAAUAUUGGGCAAUGGGCGAAAGCCUGACCCAGCCAUGCCGCGUGAAGGAAGACGGCCUUAUGGGUUGUAAACUUCUUUACUACGCGAAUAGAGGUUAGUACGAGAUACUAAUAGGAAGGUAGUGUAGUAAAAAGCAACCGGCUAACUCCGUG
rnacentral:rRNA from 1 species